UACCAGCACCCCGAGUGGUCGGGACGAUUAUUGGGCCUAAAGCAUCCGUAGCCGGUUCUACAAGUCUUCCGUUAAAUCCACCUGCUUAACAGAUGGGCUGCGGAGGAUACUAUAGAGCUAGGAGGCGGGAGAGGCAAGCGGUACUUAGUGGGUAGGGGUAAAAUCCGGUUGAUCCAUUGAAGACCACCAGUGGCGAAGGCGGCUUGCCAGAACGCACUCGACGGUGAGGGAUGAAAGCUGGGG
rnacentral:rRNA from 1 species